rnacentral:rRNA from 1 species
CCUACGGGCGGCAGCAGUGGGGAAUAUUGGACAAUGGGGGCAACCCUGAUCCAGCCAUGCCGCGUGUGUGAAGAAGGCCCUCGGGUUGUAAAGCACUUUCAGUGAGGAAGAACGCCUGGUGGUUAAUACCCAUCAGGAAAGACAUCACUCACAGAAGAAGCACCGGCUAACUCCGUGCCAGCAGCCGCGGUAAUACGGAGGGUGCGAGCGUUAAUCGGGAUUACUGGGCGUAAAGCGCGCGUAGGUGGCUUGAUAAGCCGGUUGUGAAAGCCCCGGGCUCAACCUGGGAACGGCAUCCGGAACUGUCAAGCUAGAGUGCAGGAGAGGAAGGUAGAAUUCCCGGUGUAGCGGUGAAAUGCGUAGAGAUCGGGAGGAAUACCAGUGGCGAAGGCGGCCUUCUGGACUGACACUGACACUGAGGUGCGAAAGCGUGGGUAGCAAACAGGAUUAGAUACCCCUGUAGUC